rnacentral:rRNA from 1 species
CCUACGGGUGGCAGCAGUGAGGAAUAUUGGUCAAUGGGCGGAAGCCUGAACCAGCCAAGUAGCGUGCAGGAUGACGGCCCUACGGGUUGUAAACUGCUUUUAUACGGGAAUAACGCGCCUUACGUGUAGGGCUUUGCAUGUACCGUAUGAAUAAGGAACGGCUAAUUCCGUGCCAGCAGCCGCGGUAAUACGGAAGGUCCGGGCGUUAUCCGGAUUUAUUGGGUUUAAAGGGAGCGUAGGCCGCAUGUCAAGCGUGCUGUGAAAUGUCCGGGCUUAACCCGGGCCUUGCAGCGGGGACUGGCGAGCUGGAGUCCGAGGAAGGCAGGCGGAAUUCGGUGUGAAGCGGUGAAAUGCGUAGAUAUGACGAAGAACCCCGAUUGCGAAGGCAGCUUGCUGCAGCGGAACUGACGCUGAUGCUCGAAAGCGCGGGUAUCGAACAGGAUUAGAUACCCUUGUAGUC